ACAACUUCUAAAAUAAGUUAAAUAAUGUCUCAAAAAUACAACUCUAAUAUAUGUAUGUAUAUAACGCACAUUUUAGGGGUUGUGUCGUCGGUGGAUUCUGAGUUCGAAACGGACCCCUUGCGAAACAUAUCCAUUGUCGGUUCCUAUGCCCG